rnacentral:lncRNA from 1 species
GAAGUUACAAACUACAAACGAAGGGAUUUCUAUAUUCAGCAAAAUCUAAAACCCCCCAAAAAUCGGAAUAAUGUCUUUGAUCAAGUGGACUUUCCUCUGGUCAGCAGUUUUGAUGAUACGUCACGCUGGCUCAUCAAACGAUUCAGGGAAUGGCCAUUGCACAACCACAGCAGCUGGACCAGCUGGAGCAGAAAAGGCCAGAAAAGCCUGUAAAAAACUGAUUACCAUAACAAACACGUCAUCUGUGGGAUCCUUCAAUUUAACAUCAGCCUGCACAUGCUUUUACACACACACCGGCUGUAAUAUAUCAGGAUCAAGUUAUCACAAGAUAAUAGGAGAUCACUGUCUGAUGUACAUCUCAGACCAGUCGCCCACAGGUUUCUGCUUGUUCAACACAUCCAACAGCCAACUAAACUUUACUGUGACCAAAAAUAGCAGCUCGUAUGAAUUAAGUUUAGAUAAAAAUCUUACUGAUGACAUAAUUCUGCGGUUUCUACAAAAUAUUUCUACAGUUCUGCCAUCACAGAACCAGACUAAUGCAGGUAUCUGCCCCAAUAACACUCUCACCUUCCAGGAUCUCUGCAAGAACAUGACACAUUGUUGGAAUACAACAUGCAGCCCAGAUAGCAGAUGCUUUAUUCAGGUUCAAGACAUUAAAAACAUGGAAUGCAGAGGCUGCUGUCAACCAACUACAUCAAAACCAACCACAUCAAGUUUAACUACACCAAGUUCACCUACAUUACAACCAACUACUCCCAGUCAAUCAAAAAAGAAUUCAGAAGCAUUACAUUUGAUGGUUAACCUCAAAGAAAAAGCGAAAUCAAUUUGUGAUAAUUGCACGUCAGCGAUUGAAAUGGCAAGUGCUAAAGGACUUCUUGUAAAACAUGCGAAGAAUGAAAGCGUGAAAAUCGGAUAUGAUGACAACUGGGGCGUGGUGGUUGUGGCUGACACUUCACAGGAGUCAAAGUGGUCUGUAACGGUUCCAGAAGAAGCGUUCAGUAUGGCACGUAUGCAAAUGAAUGAAACACCUUUCGUCGGGGUUGUGCGAUUCCAAGAUCUUGUACAGACCAUCAUAGACAAUGAUUCAACACUGUAUUUCAAAAGUGAUGUUUUUGGAAUAUCGAUGGGGGUCAAUAUUACUAAUCUCACAAACAGCAUUGACAUCUACUUCAGAAAUCUGAGUAUGACUGCUUCAAACUGGACCUGUACGUCUUCAGAUAGUGCAGAUACGUGGACCUCAUCUGGCUGUAAAACCAAAUUCAUAAACAACACAAUUCAGUGUUCUUGUACUCACCUGACCUUCUUUGCGCUCCUGAUGGUAAGAAUCUGUAUCUGUAUUUUCAUACACUGUUUACUCGGGAAUACAUAAAGUAUUUACUGGAGUGAUUCAUAAUACAGCUCUGGAAAAAAUGAAGAGAGCACUUCAGUUUCUGAAUCAGUUUCUCUGAUUUUGCUAUUUAUAGGUUUAUGUUUGAGUAAAAUGAAC